rnacentral:snRNA from 1 species
GGAUGUGAGGGUGAUCUGGCUGUGACACCUGUCACCCCAUUGAUCACCAGGGUUGAUUCGGCUGAUCUGGCUGGCUAGGCGGGUGUCCCCUUCCUCCCUCACCGCUCCCUGUGCGUCCCUCCCGAAGCUGCGCGCUUGGUCGAAGAGGACGACCUUCCCCACUAGAGAAGGACGGGUCUUCAGUCAAAGGUAGCUGCACUCCCCUGCUAGAACCUCCAAACAAGCUCUCAAGAGAAAUCAAAAUGACAUAUUAGAAAUGAAGAAUUCAAUAGAUAAAAUAAAAAAUGUGGUGGAAAGCCUUAACA